UACGGGGGGGGCAAGCGUUGUUCGGAAUUACUGGGCGUAAAGGGCGCGUAGGCGGCCAGCACAAGUCGGUUGUGAAAUCUCCGGGCUUAACUCGGAAAGGUCAACCGAUACUGUGCGGCUAGAGUGCGGAAGGGGCAACUGGAAUUCUCGGUGUAGCGGUGAAAUGCGUAGAUAUCAGAGGAACACCAGUGGCGAAGGCGGAUGCCUG
rnacentral:rRNA from 1 species